CUAACUAUCUUUGAGCUACUCCUUCAUACUGAUGGAUCCAGACAAAAGAAAGGCAAAACAGUAAUGUGGGGUCUGUGCAAAUGGAUCUUUGGGGAAUGAAGGCUGGGAUAGCUCUCAGGCCUGAAGGAGACUGUGUCAUUGUGAAAGAUGCUGAGUUGUGGCUCACUGACAAGGUCCCCAAUUCUGAAAUUCUUCCGAGGUGAUUCAAAGGAAAAGGAUAAUUACUAGACUUAAUCACCAGGACCAAAGCCUACACCUGUAGUCACACAAAGGAUAAACUUGGAAACUGCAGCACUGAGAUGUCAAGCUUCAGAUUGUACUUUCCAAGAAAUAGCAGCAACUGUGUCUGUGGCGGUCUCCUUGGCAGAUUUCUUGUACACCCUAUUAUCUAGUUCCAUUUCUGGUUUUGCUUGUCGCUAAAGAGCUGUUUGUAGGGGCUGGUUCAUGAUCAGCCUGCUGUCGGGCUGUUCUGGAUGCAAUUAUUCUUUGAUUUACCACUGAACAUGUGGACUUCGCUCUUUUUUCCUACAUUUUAAAAUUAGGCCUUUCCGAAGUCUUAGUCACAUCUUUUUCAGACGAAAUAAAAGAUGUUUUGUUAAGUUUGAUUUAUAACAAAAUAUUCAUAAGGAAGCCAUCACACAUUAUAGAGGAUAUCCCUUGCAAAAUGAGGUUUUGUUAACCAUAGAUUACACUCAAAGCCUCCCCUGAAAAAAAACAAAAGGGACUCUGUCUGGGUAAACUGUUUAUUAAAAAAUAAAGGCCUGUUACUGCACCUACUGAAGUCAAUGGAAAAGCUUCCAUUUUCUCCAGUGAAACAGGAUCAGACCCUAAAUGUCUAUAAACAUUAGCUUUUGAGAUGACAACUCAAUUUCUCUUGAGAGAUUAUUGGUACUGUAAAUGAAAAACUUCAAAGCUAUCAAAAAUCGGCUCAGAUACAUAAUACACAUAAAACAUCAUUUUGAAUUGUUCCAGAAUUUUUUAUAUUGAACGUGUAAUAGAGCAACUAUGAUACCUUAUGACACUUAAAAUAUGUUAAUAUUAACUAUCUCUGCUUAGAAAUUAUUAAAAUGAUUAUUUUUGUAUGCUGCUUUAAAUUACAUUUCUUCAUUUAUGGCC